CCUACGGGUGGCUGCAGUGAGGAAUAUUGGUCAAUGGGCGCGACCCUGAACCAGCCACGCAGCGUGAAGGAUGAAUGCCCUACGGGUUGUAAACUUCUUUUAUAAAGGAAUAAAGUGAGGCAAGUGUGCCUUUUUGUCUGUACUUUCUGAAUAAGGAUCGGCUAACUCCGUCCCAGCAGCCGCGGUAAUACGGAGGAUCCGAGCGUUAUCCGGAUUUAUUGGGGUUAAAGGGAGCGUAGAGGGGUUGGUAAGUCAGUUGGGAAAGUUUGCGGCUCAACCGUAAAAUUGCAAUUGAUACUGGCAGCCUUGAGUGCAGUAGAGGUAGGCGGAAUUCGUGGUGUAGCGGUGAAAUGCUUAGAUAUCACGAAGAACACCGAUGGCGAAGGCGGCCUACUAAACUGCCACUGACAUUGAGGCUCGAAAGUGUGGGUAGCAAACAGGAUUAGAUACCCGAGUAGUC
rnacentral:rRNA from 1 species